rnacentral:rRNA from 1 species
GGGAAUUUUCCCCCAUGGACGAAAGUCUGACGGAGCAACGCCGCGUGAGAUGAUGAAGGUUCUUCGGAUCGUAAAACUCUGUUGUGUAGGGAAGAACAAGUACCGUUCGAAUAGGGCGGUACCUUGACGGUACCUAACCAAAAAGCCACGGUUAAUUACUUG